CAGUGUUUAUGGAAACCCUAUGAGGCAGUCCGUUCAAUCAACGCCCUCCUACAAACCUGAAGAGCCACUGUUUGUCCAUACACAUCCCCCCAUAGGAUCAUUUGCUGAAAAUGGAGAAGAUGGUCCACUUGGUCCUGCUCGUUGGAUUUCUGGGUUUAUCUGCAGGGCAGCUGAUACCUACUGGUAACAGUGAUGUUACUCCUUCAAACAUGGAAGCAACAGCAAACGGGACACAGCCGCCUGUAGUAAUUGGCAUGAGGAUGACUGUCAAAUCUGUGGUUGAUCUGCUCAGAAAUUCAGCUGAGAUAGAGCUCCUUGUGCGUCAGGUGGAAAGUCUCAUUCCUUAUGCAGACAAAGGAAAAACGUCCGUUACGGUGAGAAGCAUCCGGAGCAGCAGCAGUAUUGCUUAAAAACAUUCCUAAAAUGAGCUAUUAUCCAUCUGAAUAUGUCAGUGUGAUUAGGCCAUGUCAUUCAGAUUCGGAAAGAAAAUUAAAAAAAAUUUCUGCCUUUUUAUUUCUUAU